GGGGGAGGGAGACCCACUAGUUCGUCUCCCCGACUCUGAACUGGCACUACUGGGGAGAAGAGACUGGGUAAUGUAACUUAUUUCUAAUUUCUAGACAAGAUUUAUUGACAUGGUGAGAUGCUGUGUUAGAUAUUGCAUAUGCAGUGUACUGAGAGGUGGGUGGCAGGACGAGAGAUGUUAAUGGUUACCUGGAGAGAAAGGAGUAGAGCAUAUAUAUGACCUCAGUGUAUCCCUUUAACCCUUUAAAUCCCGAGCACAGUCAUCCUUAGCACUUGGUUGGCCAUAAAUUGUUUACUAACUCAGCUGCACCUGUCAGAUGUACCAGUAUUUAAAGUCACAUAUAGACUGACAGCUGGAUCAGAUCAACUACUGAGUGCAGUAGUGCCUGAGUUAGGAAAGAAUGCUCUGUGUGAAUUGAUACAAUUAUUACACGGACUGUGUCAUAUGUAAUAAUACACUGCCGGGACAUAGAUACAGCUACCUCAUAUAUAGGUUGUUAAUGUUUAAUUUGUUAUAUUUAAUAAAUGAGUCAAAAGUCAAACUAUUGUUCAGAUUUAUAGCAAUAUAUAUUAAACUAUCUUCAUACUCUAAUAGUUGAUAUUAUAUAUUAUGUUCACACAGUGUCUGACCACAGACAGGUUUAUUUGUGUGUGCUCUGCUUGUGUACAGCUGACCUAGUUUUUUUUUUCAAGUUGGGAUAGAUAUAAAUACUGAAGAUUCUGAGUCUGACUUGCAUGUUCUUAAAAGAAGCCAGCCAUCUAGAAACCAAUGAGAGUCUGGGCAGGAAUCGGUUAAAUUACUGAUAUAGUAAAUUACUCCCUCAUUAUCCAGCACACAGGCAGGGGUAGAUGGUUUUGCCUCUGGUAAAGUUUGUAAAAGUAGUGGUGUUGGAAAAAUCUGAUCUUGGCUGUCAGCCACUGACUUGUUACUGUGUGUUACAACAUCGUCUGGAAACACUGCAUCUGAACUAUGUGUUAUGUUCUAGAUGGCUAAAUUGAUUGUGUUCUUGGGUCAUUUCCACAUAAACAAGUCUAUUGCAUCAAAUCUAAGUGAAUGCCAAAACGAAAGGUGUUUUGCAGAAUGUAAUGCGGGAGCUUCUGUAGACUUUAUCUGCCAAGGAUCCCAAACUGCUAAACGUUAAACCUGCUAGGUGCGUGAAAUACGUCAUCAGAGACGUCCACAGAUACAUAGACACCUACACACAUCUAGAUAUAUCCACGAACAUCUAUAGACAUCCACAGACAUCUACAGAUAUCCACAUAUAUCCACAGACAUCUACAUAUAUCCACAGACAUAUACAGACAUCCACAUACAUCUACAGACAUCCACAUAUAUCCACAGACAUCUACAGACAUCAGAUAUUCACAGACAUCUACAGAUGACAUCUAUGGAUAUUCACAGAAAUCUACAGACACCCACAGACAUCUACAGACACCACAGACAUCCACAGAUAUCCACAGGCAUCUACAGAUAUCUACAGACAUCUACAUAUAUCCUCAGACAUCCACAUAAAUCUACAGACAUCUACAUAUAUUAACAGACAUCUACAGAUAUCCACAUGCAUCUGCAGACAUCCACAGACUUCUACAGACAUCCACAGACAUCUAAGGAUAAUCACAUAAAUCUACAGACACCUACAGAUAUCCACAUACAUCCUCAGACAUCCACAUACAUCUACAUAUAUCCACAGACAUCCACAUACAUCGACAGACAUCCACAUAUAUCCACAGACAUCUACAGACAUUAGAUAUUCACAGACAUCUACAGAUGACAUAUAUGGAUAUUCACAGAAAUCUACAGACACCAACAGGCAUCUACAGACACCCACAGACAUCUACAGAUAUCCACAGACAUCUGCAGAUAUCUACAGACAUCUACAGACAUACAAAUGCAUCUGCAGACAUUCACAUGCAUCUACAGGCAUCCACAGACUUCUACAGACAUCCACAGACAUCUAUGGAUAAUUACAGACAUCUACAGAUAUCCAUAGACAUCUACAGACACCCACAUAUGUCCACAGACAUCUAUGGAUAUUCACAGAAAUCUACAGAUAUAUACAGACACCCACAUACAUCCACAGGUAUCCAUGGAUGUCCACACUGCUCUGCACACACCAACACACAGAUCUUGAGAGACAUCUACAGACAGUUCCAAACAUCUACAGAUAUCCACACACAUCUACACAUAUCGAAAGGCACAUACACGCUUCUAGAGAAACCAUAGACAAUCACAGACAUCUACAGACGCCUUCAAGCAUCCAUAUUCAUGUGCAGACUACUAACUGACCUUCCCAUACGUCUAAAGACACCCACAUUUCACCAUACCUGUAGAUCAUAGACAUCCACUGACAUCUUCAGGCAUCCACAGGUUUCUAUAUAAACAUUCAUUUACAGGCAUCUUUUCAUAGUUGUAGUCUUCUACUUACACGCACACAUGCAUAAUAUCCGAAAAUAUCUACUUGUUCAAAAUUUAAAUGAUGUGAAAUAAUAACGAUCUUUACCCAGGUCUUUACCCAGUUUUCUGUAAUAUGGGUGAUGACAACAUAAACCACGUGACUGGAAAAUGGUCUGUUAGAGAGGAAUGAUCAGUUAGAAUUUACUAAAUGUCUUGUCGCCAUUCGAUAUAAUUUGUAUGUCACGUUAAACCGGUUGAAGGAUCUAUAAGUUAAAUUAUGCUGGAUAUCUCACCACACUGUAAAUAGUAUUCACUCUGAUUAUUGAUUAACAAAGACAAUAUUGCUUUUGUAUUGGCUUUUACUAAACGAGAAUACAUUAAUUUAAUUAUAUAUCUAUGGAAACAGUAAACAGUCGAGUUUACAAAUACUGUGUGCUCUUAUGUGUAUAAUUAUAUAUACAACAUACACUAAAUCCAAUUAAAAUGGUAUAUACAUUACAUUUUCUCAGUGCAAGAAACAUUAUUUAGUGUGAGCCGAAUGAUGUCUAAAUGGUUCGUGCCCCAGUUUAUGUGCAUUUUAUUCUUGUGCUAAAUUGUUGUAAGUGACAAUGUAUGUAAUAUCACAGCAUCCAGUUCUGGUUAUUACACCAGAUAAGGUAAUACAUCAACCCCCCUAGCAAUAUAUUAGCAGAUACAACUUUACACCUUUGAAUACUCACCUUAAAUACAUUUUAGAAAACUGAUUGUCAGCAAAUCACCAGGAAUUCAUGGCUGAAAUUCACAUCUAUUUUGAGUUUAGAAUCGGUUAUUAUAUAUAACAUAUAUUGAGAAAACACAGAACAGAACUAAUCAUUUACAUUAUAGUUCCCAAAAGCUGCACUUUUAAACCCCAUGUCAUCUACAGUAAUCAGAGCAGCUUCUAAUACAAAAGUGAAUAAUAACAACAACAAUAAUAAUAAUAAUGUAAUGAGUAUUUAAUUUAGAUUAAACACUCGCUCCAAUUACGACAUAUCCACAUUUUAUCCAUGGAAGUAUUAGAGAUAUAAAAAAUAUAAACUUGGAAAAUCUUCAGGAAAAUUUUAUUUUUUCAACAGACAUCAGCUUGUUAAUUGAGAAAUAAAAAAUAUGUGUGUGUAUAUAUAUAUAUAUAUAUAUAUAGUCACUAUGUGUAAAUCAAUUUUAAUUUUUCUUUCAGAAUCCUGACCAGCACCUUCCAAAUAUUAGAAUACUGCAAUGAUAGAAUAAUAAAAUAUAGGAAUGAAAGAAAUUUCAGCCAUUAGAACACUAGAAUAUUAGAACACUAAAAAAAAAAAAAAAAUUUCAAUAAAUAAACAUUCCAACAGAAUAUUAAUGGAAUAAAUAGAAUGGAAUAAAUAGAAUAUGAUACUACUAGAAUAUCAGAAUAGAAAAAACCAAAACAUAAAAACCUAAAAGCGAGGAGGUUCAGUUUGUGCAUUUGAGUCUGUAACCCCAUCCCGCAGGUGAACAUUAUAAGAUGUGCUGAUUCUUAUCGUGACAGGUGUCGAUUGUUGUUACCAUAACCAUCCUGAAUAAUGGUGUGUGGUAAAAGGAGAACACGCCAUGGCUGUGAAAGCGCUAUAGCAAGCAAUGGCUGUGUGUUGUAUUAUGUGUCAAUGUUCUAUUAUUCGCUUAUGUUAUAUUUCUGUUAUAUUAUGAGGUUACAAUAUGAGGCAGGAUAUAUUUUAACUCACUGUCACUACAACAGGAAAUGGCAUUGGGUGUGCACUACAAAUAGAGCUCAGUACACACUUCCCUUUACAUCUCCCACAGUAACAAUUACAUUAUACACAUAUUGAAUUGUAACAAUUAUACAGCAUGGGACAUACAUGUAUACAUAGACUGGAGGAAAUAUACAUGUGUGUGUGUAUGUAUAGGGAGAGAUAAAGAUAUACAUGUAUAGAUUCAUAUAUAUAUAUAUAUAUAUAUAUAUAUAUAUAUAUAUACUUAUAUAUAUAUAUAUACUUUUAUUAUUAUUAUAUAUAUAUAUAUAUAUAUAAACUCGCUAUACUUAUAUAUUUUUAUCUCUCUCUAUACAUACACACACACACACACAAACUCUUUCUCUAUUUAUAUUUACACUAAUUUAUAUAUACAUAUGUAUUAAUGUAUGUGUAUGUACCUAUCUUUAUGUUUAAAUAAGUCCUAUAUGUUUAAAAAAGUAAAAAUACACAGAAGUCAAGAGUUAUAUUUAUGUGAAAACUAUUUGAUAUUCCUGCACAGUAUAUCAUUGUAUGUAAUCUAUUCAGAGAUGACCUGGUUGUGUAUAUAUCUGUAUAUGGUAUCAUGAUGUAUAUCUGCUAUACUCUGUAUAUCUGAAGGCUGUAUUUCCUCCACUUAGAUCACUGUUAUCAUACAAUUCAGGUUAGGGUCUGCCCACAGUGAUCACUAUAAGGACUAUGCACUAUAUACCACCAGCUAAAUUAAAGACAAAACAUUUAACCUGAAAAAUGCCUAGAGGCUAUUUGUGAACCCAUCUCCCUUGUCGGAAGAUUUCUAGUAGAAUCAUUAGCUCUCGCUGUUUAGUGAAUAGAACCCUAUAUUUCUUGUAUCCUAUAACGUGACUAUCGUUGUUUUGCGAAUUAAAAGGAAUGUUAACUAUGUAUACAUAUACAAUCCUUAAAUAAUCAAAAUAACAUCAUUCUUAUUUUCCCGAUUGUUUCUAUUUACAAUUUUACACCAUGAAUCACAAUACUACAAUAUACUGUAUGGAUCGAAUUAUUUAGGUUAAUAAAGUACUCUCAUAAUAAAUCAUAGCUCAGUUCUCACAGUAAUUUGACCUUUAUUAUUUCGAUAAACUAAAACUAAAAAACAUGGAACGAAAUCUUUACAAUUUGUUACUAUUUAGAGUUCAAGGUCAAUACAGAUGCUAUAUUUAAUAUCUGCACAUGCAAUAUAAAAGUAUAAAACAAAACAAAAGACCUGUCUUCAGAUAAAAAUACAUGUUAUGUUAAUAUGUUAAAGUAAAGUGGAUGAGAACUCAGACUGGUUAUUUAUUGUAGUAUAAAUGUUCAAUAUUUGAAGAAUAUUAAAUAUUUAGCAACUGGGAUAUAUUAUGAGAGAGACUGAGAAUAAAGCACACUAUACUUUAUAUAUAGUACACAAAUAAGGUAUCAAUGAAAAAACAAUUGUAUACAAUAUAUAUAUAUAUAUAUAUAUAUAUAUAUAUAUAUAGAAUAAAUAUGUAUAUUUAUAUAUUAUAGUAAACAUGAAGCUGUCAUUGUGAGUCCAGAAUUGCCCCAAUAUUUUCAUUAAUACAAUGUUCAAAUAAUGCAGAAAAAUGUAUUAUAUUCGCUGCUGAUAUUGAGCACUGUGCACACAAGCUGUACUAUUUCCUAAAGUGACAAUUCCAAUUAAAGUCAAAUUGAAUCUCAAAUUUAAGGCUAGAGUAGCCGAAUUGACAGCUUAACCGACAGAGAAUUUUUCCAGUUCGGCUUUUUAGACCUUAAUCUUGAAAUGUAAUUUUAAUCCACACUUUAGUUAAUACUUGGAAUAUUAUUGUAUAAUUCACUGUGGAUAUAUAGCUAUGCAGCUAAGGGAUUUAUUAACUAAACAGUGAUCUGAUCAUUUAGGUUAAACUAGCUAAUCUGGGGAUAUCGGGUUAUUGUAUAUAUAUAUAUAUUUUUUUUUUUAGAAAACUCAGUUAUUUUGGGAUACAAUUUACCAGUCGUGUGGUACACUUCUACAAAUCAUUUUGUAUUAUUUAAACCUUUCAAUAUGUGCUUCUCCUAUCCAAAAUCUCCUUUACUAAUUAAUGUCUAAUGUUCAUCAAAGCUGGAUCCAGCAAUCCAUAAAUCCACACCUGCUAUAAUCCACACUAUUUAAUCCAAGAGGCAUUAGGUAGAAAUCAAACAUAGGUAUUUUGAUAUCCUAGAAUUUAUCCAAAUUUUUAGACCACUAUGGCACUAUUGGAAAUUUUGUUAUUGGAAAUGAAACUGAUUAAAAUAAGAAACAACUCUUUUCAGUUUAAAAUCAGAAUAUUUCUAGAUGGGUUAUAGCUAAAAUAGUAAAAUAAAAAAUAUAAGCAGGUUUAGAUGUAAUCUGUGGGUAAAGGGUUUAUGUAGAAGAUGAUGCAUUUGCUUGGCUCCAGCAGUGAAGGGGUUUACAGCAAUCAGGAUCCCCUUGGGAAUGUGGGGCUGAGUGAGAGCUGCACCCACAUUGUGCCCCUGGGAGACAGUUCACCACACUGAUUGCAGCAGAGAGGGUUUAGGAGCAGAGCCAGAUAUAGGACAGCUGCAUCCCAAGUCUUUAAUUCCUUUCUCAGGACAAAAAAAGCCAUUGCCACCUGCUGUCAGAUACUGAGAGUUGCCAGUGCAUGCACAGUCUCUUUGAAAGCACCCAGCAGAAGCAAAAUAUUGGGUUUGCUCAAGCAGGGCAAACAAUGGGAAAUUAUCAGAAUGUUUUCCACAAUAACACAAAAAAAAAAAAAAAGAAAAAAGAAAAUUAAACAGGAAUAUAUGUUCUCUGUUUGAUGUCAGUCAGGGCAUAAAGUAAUAAUGAAAUGAACAAUCUCUGCCUAGCAGACUAAAAAAGAGGUUUUAAAAUGACUGUCCAUGUUUGCAGACCCAUAUACCUUGCAUAUAUGCACAUUGUUGCUCAUUAGCAUCUACUAUUAAGAAAUGCGACCGGGGGUUAGUUCACUAAACAGCGACUUAAAAAUAUAUCGUUUUUAAUUAGAAUAGAGAAAGUUGGAAAGCUCCUUGAUCCUGCAGAGUUUGGGUUGUGCCUAUUUAACCCUAUACCGUGCAAAUCUGCUCUGAACUCACUGUUUAGGAAGGAAAAAUACAUUCUUUCUUGAGACAUUGUCAAUACAAAGCUAUUCGUUGUCACUGGCUGUGUGAUGGUUGUACAUUGCGUAACUGCUAAAUACUGUGUCUGUGUUACCCAAAAAUAAUAUUGGUGUUUCUGUGAUUUUGCAACUUGCAAAAUGUUUCCAUAUUCCUUGUAAUUUGCCCAGCACCCCAGGAAUCAUUAAACUGGUCGUGUAUUUUGUGUAUAAAGAGAGAGAAUGAUUUAUAGCAUGUGUGUUUUUAUGGAAAAAGGAAAAAAACUGCAAUUUGUAGUGAAAGCAUUUUUAUUUCUUUAUGGGAAAUACCCCAGUGAUGAAAAUGCUUAAUAAAUAAGUUAACACUACAUAUGUGCAGAGUUCCAGAGACCCUCAGAACAUUUCUGAGGGUUUUCUAUAGAAACUGUGUUUUGCAGAAAUGGAUUGGACUGGCUGAAUCCAUUUUAUUUUAGCAGUUUGGAUUUUAGAGUAUAUGCCUCACUGAAUAGUAAUAUUAUUAUUCGGAGUAUUUGAACCAGAGUUUCUUUUUGUGAUAAUAAUGCACAUGUCAAACCAAUAGGAAAAUAUAGCUGCAUGUAACUCAUAUAUACAGCAGACAUAGGGAAUUCUAGAAAUUAAAAAUAAUAAUAAUAAUAUUUAGUGAAGUUGUAAUUUAUUUAGAGGGAGAGAAAGAGAGAGAUUUGAAGAGACAGGUAAAUAGACCCCAAAUGUUUGAAAUAUUUGAUUUAGUUAAUCUCCCUUGAUUUAGAGUGAUUUGAUAUAUGCACUGAUGCAUAUCUGACUGAUUGCAUGAGUAUUUUAAAAUAUACACCAUUGACCAAGCUAUCAAAAAGACAUUGGAUGGGAUGCUGCAUGAUCACUGUAGGAUUUAAAAUUUGGGGAAAAUUGUGCCUUGUUGAACAAAACGCAUUAGGCUAUUUUCCUGGGAUAUGCUUCCUUAGGGUUUUGCACUGCAAUGUCCCAACAUUUAUUUUGUUCUUAGACUAUCUCAAUAAAAUGUACGUUUUAUUUUAACAUGGACUGCAUUUAUUUUAUACAUGGUUCUCUGGGGUCUGUAAAAUAUAGGCCGAGAAAGCCAAAGGUGAAAAUGGGUAAAAUGGUGAUUAUUUUUAAUUCUCUUUCAAUUUACCAAAAUGUAUUGUUUAUUUCAUAAUCAUCUGUAUGAUAUUACUUGCACCAUACUCACUAAAUUAAAUACUCAUUUAAUUUAGUUAAUUGACAUCACAUUAUUAAAGUAAUGCAGGUUACAGGUUACACUAUCUAUCUAUCUAUCUAUCUAUCUAUCUACUAUCCUUGUGCAAUAGGCAUUAGGCAUUCAAAAUGCUUUAUUUUUUUUUAAAUUAAUUUACUAUGAAGGAUUCUAGAUUUCUAAAAAAGUAAUAUAUUGUAAUAAGUGACCAAGGCUAAAUAAUACAAUUAUUAUUAUUAUCAUCAUUAAUUCUAGCAUUAAUAUUAUUCAAUAGCUCUAAAAAUCAAAGCAGCACUGCAUGCCACAUUGACUGGUUUUCGAUAUACAAAACUUUUGUUUUACUUUUAACCAAAAGCAAAACCCGUUACACCAUUUCACGUUUUUAGGAUGCCAUAGAUCCAUGUAUAUAAAAAGGUGAUUAAAAUAGAAGUAGUUCUGUCCAUUGGUCUCACGAUUUAAUAUGGAUUUGUAAUUAUAAACUUUGUGCUUAAAGAUUAAAAGGACACUUAGUUUGUAUUUAAUUGACUGCAAAAAUGUUAAUUGGUUAAUAAUAAUAGUAAUAAACAAAAUUGUAAAAUGAAAUCUAAUAAUUUAUGUUCAUUGAUACAGCAAAUUAAUAGUAACACUGGAAUGCAAAUUUUAAAAAGUGCUUUUAUAAUUUAUUCAUGAAGAGUUUGUACUGUCUGCAGCACUGACAAUCCAGAACGAUACUAAGGGUGUGUAAAUAAUUUGCUGCUUUAUAGGUUGGAGAAUAUAAUAAUUGCAUACAAUUUAGGGCGCAAUUCCUUAGGUGUAGAUGAAUGGCCUAAUGCUUAUUAUUAUUGUAUUAGUAACAGGCUCAUCAUUUGAAAUGACAGGUGGGAGGAAUAAGCUCUUGGCUAAAGACUUCAAGUGCUGAGACAAGCUCAAUUCACUGGCAAACAGAGCAGACACCCUGCAGUGAAGGAGUUAAUUUCAUCAGAAUUGGUGCAAGGAGCCAUUUGGUCCCUCCCCACACCAGAUGAUGCCCACCUUUCAUUUCAGCCAGGUGUGAGUGUGCAGGGGUUUUGAUAUGUCUCAUUAGCAAUCAUUUUUAUUACACGGGCCUAGAACAAAAGUACAAUCUGCAGCACUAAAGCAAUCCUUAAUUCAGCCUCUACCAAAAUCUUUACCCAAAUCCCUUGUUCUAAGAAAUGCCCUCAAAUCUCUGUGCAGUUUUGGUUAGGUCUAUCUGUGUCAGGGCUAGCAGAUCAUUGAGCUGGAGCUACCAGCAGAGCUCCAAAUUACACCAUAGCCUGAAAGACAUGGGAACAGCCAGGGGCAGAUUUCCCACAAGACAAUGUAAGCAGGUGCCUAUGGCAUCUGGCAGCCAAACCCACUACUUUGUAUGAAAAAAAAAGAUUCAUGUUCUGUGGAUUUACAUAGAUCCACAGACAUAAAAUCUUAGUUUGCGGAUCAUCUGAAGCCAGCAUGCGACACUGUACUCCUUGAGGCACGAUGUUAUUUUCUGUGAUUAAGAGCAGACAUUCUGAUUUUGGACUCUUUUAGAUUUUCAUAAUGUAAUACAAUACAUAAUUAAAAGAGACCAGUCUGUAUCACUAUGCAAUAUACAAAGUAUGAUUCUGAUGACCUACUGUAACUUUUGUUUUCAUGGACUGGACUGCAACACACUUGGACAGGGUUUUAGCUAUGGUUAUGGGUGAAGAAAUGCACCAUAAACCCCUGGGUCUAUCCACUGCACAUCGGGGCCAUGGUUAGUGGUCCCCAAUACUUGCUAAUAAGCAGGAGAGAGCUGUAGGUCAUCUUCUCUAUCCACAUCCUUUUUGAAAGCAUUAUAUGUUAAUAAACCUUGUGUUACUUUCUACUCAAUCCCCUUAACAAUGGUUUGGAGACUGGAGGUUCCCAUUUCCAUGGACCACAGUAGUGCCGAAUGGACCAAAUGGUUCUCAAUUUUACUUUUCUCUUUGUAAAAAAGCCUUAAUGGAUGCUAAAUAUUCGGUACUGACCUUUACCUAGAAUAAAACCAUACAAAACAAAAAGACUAUAAAACUAUAAAAUAUACUUCUAUACUUAAGUGCUUACAUUAAUCUGGACUUGCCAAACAAUGUUUUCUAUACUAUUAUCAUUGUUAUAGCUUGAAUAAUUGGUUGCCUUUUCUCAGGAAGUCAUAUUAUUUGAAGUAUUUGCUAAUGAUUUUAGUUCGAAUGAAUGGAGACAUGCCAAUGCCUGCACCCACUAGCUAUUCACAUGGAUGUGUCGGUGAUUAUGAAAAUGAUAUAAAACUUCACUGGUGUGUUUUUAGAAUUUUUUCUGUUGUUCAGUAUUUUAGAGUUGUAUCAGAACUUCAUAACUAGCAUAUUAUUAAUAUGCAUUAGUAGCAAAUAAAGAAAUCCUUGACCCACUCAAUCAAUUUCAUCAUUCAGCAAAGGAACAAGGGCACAGUAACAGGCCCAUCCCAGCCCACCUCCACCACAUGUUCGAAAACAAUGUGUAAGGAAUUCAUGUACCAACUAUGACACCAGAAGAGUAAAGGCCUAGUAGUAAGUAAAGCAUGUGAUUAACCUUGUAGCAUAUCAAUUCUACAUACUGUGGCAGUAUUUGUCAGUGCUCAACAUGAUAACAUCAUGUGUGUCAAGUAAAACAUGGUGGCUAUUGCAGGCCUAAGGGAAUGUCCUAACAUUACUUAGAAAAUAUCAACACUUUUCAUCAACUGAAAAACAGGUGCUAUACUAAAUCAAAGGGCUAAAAUAAGGAUAAGUUACCAUGGAAACCAAAAGAAUGUCUCGCAACAUUUUUAGCCCCAUUGAUUAAUUAACAAAUAUCCAGAUUACCCUGCUUCCACCUUGCUACUCUUAAUUAUUUCUUCUUCUUUUUCUUUUUUUUUUUUUAAAUAUUUCUUGGUUGUUCAAGUCCAGAGAUUGCAUAUCUAGUUCAUCAGAAUUUAGCCAAUUCAAUAUAAGUUGGUUGCAGUAAAUGAAUGUGCAACCCACAGGCUUACAAAUAUAUCCAUUUGGGCUGGUGCAACAAAGACUAACAUUUAACCAUGUUCAUUACCAAUCUCAAGCACAAUGAGGACUAGAAGGAUGCAGUCUUAUAACAGCCCUAUAGAAAAAUUAAUGGAAUGGGUAUUUAUUCCCUAAACAGUGAUUUGUGAUGAGAAACUGACCUGCAAAAUCCCUCUAAAAUAUCAGAGAAUUAAUCUUCUGGAAUUGGCUAUUUUUGCCUAAAGGUGGCAAAGCAAUUCUUAACAUCCCAUCGUUCACUUUAUAUCCAGAUACAGUUAAUAUUCAUACCUAUAAAGAAGUGUUAUAAAAUAAUCCGACUUAGUUUUUAUUCAGUAAAGGCUUAGACGGCACUUCUAGAUCCAUGACGAUAGCAACGUCUGCUAAGUAUCCUGGUAAUUGUUCUAAAUCUGUUUUGGUGAAAUGAAUGGCGGGGACAAUUACCUGUGAAUUUUUCUAUAAAAUAUCCAGCAAUGAAUACAAAACAUGUGCUGAAAUGGAGAUUUUAAUAGAGGUUUGAAGAUGUUUUAUUGUACAUCUUAGAAAGUCAUUUAUUCAAUAUAUUAGUAAACCUGAAAUUCUGAGGGUUAUUUUAUGACAAGAAAAUUGGUAGUGAAGGGGUUCAAGGACUUGAGUCAUUUAACUGAAUGUCUACACAAUGUUUUGCUGUCAUUAUUAUUUUUAUUAUUAUAAGCAUUUAUAUAGCACCAACAUUUUCCGCAGUGCUUUAAAACUAUUGAAUGAAUGGCAUACAAAGCACAGGCAUUGCUGGUCUAUGGGGCUGAAGCCACGCAUGUAGGGUUCCUUUGCCCCGGAUCUCAGAUCUCAGAUGUUGGAUGGGGCAGGAGUAUUUUACUGUUUAUUCACUGUUUACUUUUAAUUUUACAUUUGGCAGUUUAGAAGAAAACCUUGCCGCAAACCCAUUUAUUAGUUAUGUAACAUAGUAGUAUCACUCUGAAUAAUACUUGGCUACGCAUGGCAUUAUCUACUUGUUUCCAGCUUUCACUGAGAUCCCAGAGACCACCAUCAGCAUGCUAUUCAUGGGUAGAGAGAAGGUAACAUUGCGUAAAAAUACAGGGAUAUGUCACAACAAAUCUCCACCUCUCGGUUAGUGUUGGGGUCUUCCAGUUUCUCUUUGGGCUUAAGCCCCAGGUGUUUCUGGAACUAAUCUCCACUCCUGGUACAAAAUAAUAUUGACAGGGACAAGAGGUGAAGAAGAUCCUGUUCAAAUUAACUUUUCUUUUUUAUUUCUUUUUUAUUUAUUCAGUGGCUAUAAUAUCAUGCCCAGCGCAGUCUCCUAGCAAUCUCUGGACACUGAAAUCUAUGUAUAAGCACUUCAUAGAACCUAUGUGCAAGUGCAGCACAGAAUAGGGCUGGCCAGAGUGGCUGACAGUCAUACCGACAUGCAUGCACACCAGAAAGACACACCGUCUUUUCGUGGGCCAUGUGACUUCAGUCCCUAAUUGCUACUGUCCUUCUGGCUUGCUCACCACCUGUCCUUUAUCCAUACCUCAGAAUAAUGGGAGGCAAAUCCAAUCAGUUUUAUUUGCAUUUAAGUACAUAUCUGUGUUGCCAGAGAACAUGUUUUAAAAUAGGGCUUUAUGUUUCUUUUUUUUUUUCUAUUUCUUUCUUUCUUUCCUCUCCCUUUCUCUCUCUACACACACACGUACGCACGCAUGCACACAAGCAAGCACGCACGCACGCACGCACACACGAACGCACGCAUGCACACACACACACACUGUGUGUAUAUUUGAUUUUUAAGAAUGAGAAGAAUAAAACAUUCAGUUAAUAAAUUAUAAAAGUUAUAAAAGCGGAGAAAAUAAACACACAUGCCCUUUAUUUAGAGUUCAAGAAUAUUUCUUGUAUUUCUUAACAGCCUUUCUUGAGGAAUCUUUAACAGUGUUUAGGUAGUGUGUCAUGUAAAUACCAUUCUUGGCGUUUAUUAGGUGGCAGUAUUUAGAGCAUUUGUUAGGCAAGUUCUUACACCAUUGCAGACAAUAAGCAAUGUAGCUGUUUGGAGAUUAAAGAUGUGUGAGUACAGUAUAACACUUAGCAGAAAGAUGUAUCCCAUCAAGUCCCACAUUCUCAGUAGUCUUCUAUGCUAACAUAAUGUGUCAAUUGUUUCUUACAGAAACAUCUGAAUGAUGUUUAGAAGCAUGCCACAUAGUGUGGACAUUUUUUUUUCUCUUAGAAAGAGUUAGGAGAUCUAAAUAUUCUACUGUACAGCAGAAAGAGUCAACAACAAACUGUCACAGCGUUCAAGACGCUCUGGGAAGACAAAAUAGUGAUGUGGCUCCCAGAACAGUUACAAGUUGUUGUUUCCUCUUCAUAUUUUAAAAUGAAAACUCCAAAAAUACUAGUAUUUACUAAUAGAAAUAAAGCCAAUUUUGUCUUUUCCAACCAAUAAUAUUGUUACUUUAAUUCACAGGCCUACUACUGUACACUUUCUGCCAGUUUAUCUUCGGAGGACUACAAAUGUAGUGUAUGCUUUCAUUAGAAAAUAAAAAACAAGAACACACAAAUAAACAGGAAACCAAGAUUAUUCUUUGGUAUAACAUAACGCCUGGAAUGUUCUGCUAAGAUAAUAUUUUUUAAUGUUAAUAUCCUUUCAAAUUUGAUAUGCUUUAUGCGAUGUUUUAUGUAUUUAAUAUUAACAAUGUUUAUUCCAAACUGAGUUUAUUUAUUGAUUGAUAGGCUAAUUUGUAAUUAGAAUUAUGGAUAUCCUGUAGGAUUCUUUUCACCAUUCCUAUUCUCAGAGAGUGAGCCUAUAGGCUUCUUAAAGUAUAUGCAGUCACACUCCCUAAAAUCAAGUCAAAAGCCCUAUUUUUUUUUCUACUUAAUUUCACUGAGAAUUUUCAUGAUCAGGUAGUUUAAUCUGAAUGCUAAGAGAAAAAAAAAAAUCACAAUUUGCAUGUGUAUUUCUGUUUGCCACAGUGAUUGUUUCACUUUUAGAACGUUUAUUAUUCUGUAUCCAUUGCUAAGUGUGAAAUGAUAUAUAGGGAGAGAUAUGCUCUUUUUGGAAUGUUCAUAAAUACUUUGUGCAUAUUUACAUUUUAUGCUGUAAUAUCUUUAAUCCACAUGUAAUUCUAAUCAUAGCUAUUCAACAUUUGGGGUCAUAAGAAAAAAAUAUCUAAUUUUUUUUCCCCAUGAAAAUUUUACAAAAUAAUAACAAACUCUGGUUAUUUUUGUUUGUCUAUCAUCACAUCUUACAAUGUAGGUUUGUUUCUUUUUUAUGGUUGUUAGGAAUCAUAUGAAAUAAAAAAAUCAGUUACAACUAAGCUUGUCAAGAUUGUUUGAAUCAGAAUUCACUAUAGCUGAGCUGUGAGCUAAACAAAUACUAUAGUGUCAUCAACUUUGUUUGUCCCUCGUUAUGUAGGUUUUGUAAGGAGUAUAGAAUAGAGAAUUGGUGAUGCGGAAUUAAUGAUAUAAUAGAAUAGAAAGUGAACUAAGCAAAAGCACACUAUAACAAACACAAUUCAGUAAACACCAGAAACCAAUAAAGAACACAUACAACAAUUACUUGAAGCAUAUGAUAAAUAUAGUGGGCUAUUGAUAGAUCAAUAAAGAUAGCCGCUCGACUUAAAUAUCUUAUCUCGUGUUCAAUUUAUUUCCAUUUCUUAGAGAGAGAUAACAUAUUGGCUUUAUUGAUUCAUUAAUAUAAUUCUAAGUGGUCAGUGAGCGCUCCAAGGGGUAGGAGAACUUGCUACUGAGAUUGGUUGGAGAUUUGACCAAUUCGAAAAUAAUGAAAACUUAAACCUCUAAGGAGGACUUUGUGAAAUGCUUUCCCAAUUAUUUUCCCUUUUGCAAUGUGCCUAAUCUAAUUUAGAUCAGUGUUAACAAGCUAAGUAAACUAAAGUAGAAUAGGCACAUUGCAAGACUGAUAACAUUUUUGCCAUAGAUUUUAUAUUGUUCAUGUGACAAUGAUUCAGAAGUAGACUAUUUAGCAAUCAUAACUUAAUAUCCUGUCAUACUAUACCAGUCUCAUCAACCCACUAGCCAUACGUUUAAAAACAAAGCAUGCUACCUUUAAGAGACCAGCCCUGUUUAUGUUUAAUGUAUAUUUGCACCAGUUCAACUGAGUGCUUCUCUUCAUUGGGAAAGAAUAUAAAAACAGUCUUGUUAUUAUGCAUAUGUAUGUUAUGCCUGCAUUGUGUAAAGCUGCAAUGUUACGUUGUUACUUGAGCAAUUGACAUUAAUAAAAUAAUUUUAUAUAUUUACAAAAACAAAGCAAGUAAUUUAUACUGAAUUUUAAUCUGUCAGUCCCCAUUUCCCAUACUUGUGGUCUUCCCUAUACAUUUUUUUUAGUACAUUCGGGAUGCCAACCUUUUUGAUGAAGUAUCAGUUAUAUAUAUGCCGUAUUUCGACAUGUAAGUCUAUGGCAACCCAAGGACAUUGUCACGGCAGGAAGUAAAACAAUAUAGUUAAUAUAGUGUUUGUUUGUGGAAUGUAUUAAGGUGUAAAUAGGUUUGGAUUAUUAAAAAAGAAGGUAUUGUUAUCAUAUUACCUCCAUGAGUUACUCAGAAGAUUUCACAUUUGUUCCUUUCUAAAGUGUUUAUUUAUUCUGUAUUUUUGAAACUGAUGAACAUGAUUUGUUUAUGCUACGGCUUAAGAUGAGUUGUGUAAUGAUAAUUGCAUAGUCAAUGUAUGAAGCAUUUUAUGGAUUCGAAUGUACGAUAACUGAAAAGGUCAGCCAAAUUUGGUGAGUUACAAAGACUCUGCCAAAUCGGUAUGACAAACACGUUUGUAGUAAUCCUGCUUCAUCCUAUGGUUUUAAUUAUCUAAAAAUGAUGAAUAUUGUAUGUGUCACACAUGCCACUGAGGGUUUGGACAGCAGCAAUGGUAUACAAUUCUGAGGACUAGAUGCAGUGGGAGAACAGUGACUAUGUACACUCCUGUCCUGGUGAGAAGCAGCUUUAAAUAUUAGGGGAAAACUGAUUAAUGAAAAACAGAUCAUGUCUAAUAGUUUCCAUGGUGAUUGCCCCCUGUUUACCCUAAAACAGCACAGUUUUUUGCCUUAUUAAAUAUGAUAUAAGAACACUAAUGGCAGUAAGGGCACCAUCAGUCUAUUCAUGUGUUAAAAUCUCUUAUUACCAAGUCAUUCUAAUUGGCAAGAAAAUUGCAUACAUUUAAUUUGAAACAUUGGAUGCAUAGCUCGCACAAGGAGAACACAGCUAUCCAUGUACCAUAUAUAUUAAUUUUCAGAGAUACUUAAAAACUAAAGUUUUGUAUUAUUAAUUCAACUUUAAUGGAAAUUUUAAUGGGACAAUACAUGUUACAGUUUUUUGUCACUUACAGUUAUUAUGGCAAAAUAGGUAAAUUGAAUCACUGUUUUUGUGUAUUUGCAAAGAAAAUGAUGGCGUUUUGCAAAUUCAAAGAAAGACAGCAGAAUAUGAAAGUAAUGUUUCAAAGUGGUGCCAAAAUACGGUAAAUACACAUAUGACAAGCUUCUCUUCUUUACAGUGUGUUAUAGGCCGCCAUUGCAAUGUGACAAACUCUUUUAGUGCGCUGUUUGUGUAGAACCCUCCCUUCCCUCUACCAUUUCCCUGGUUGCAAGAAAGUAGCCUUGAAAUUUGUUCUACAAACUUUUCAGUUGAGUGUGGAUGGAAGGAGGUACAAAUUACAGUCUCUCUUCACACAUGGAUAGGGAUAGAAUGGAACUCUGCCAGUAUGGAGAUGACUUAUCUAGCUGUAGAAAAAGAAGGUAAGUGGAGUUUUAAAGGAUAUAUUUUGUUUUGCAACUCAACAUAUAUACAUUGUUUGAAGGGAAGGUAUUUUAUAUUUUUUCAUUAAGAUUUGAAUUUGUUCAUGGGACAUUUGGCUGUGGGGGUAGAUAGGAACCAAUUGGUCAUUUACAUAAUUCAUAAUUGAAUCGUUGGCUUAUAUUGCUCCUAGUUCAGCUAUUUUUCAAUGUACGAGCUUGCAAUGUGUACCCAAGUAGCAUGUCAGUAACACCUUACAUGCAUACACAACUUAUGUGUUAAAUCAACAUAUAAUACUUACAUGAAACAAGAUCAGAGUUGCGUUUUGCUUUGAGGACACACAAAGUACAGCCUGUCAUUAAGGAGUGUAUUUCAGGAUUUGCAUAUGAAAUGUGUUAGAAACCGGUUAAGACCUAAAGCAGAAAAUUGGUCGGACAGCAAAAAAACAUUCCUUUUAUUGUCACAUAAAAUCUUGUCUCUUAUUUGUCGAUUGAAUUAAGCUACUGCAUACAUUAUCCUUAUCAUGCAUUGUAAACUUGUACAAACAAACUGUUUAUCCAGCCAUGAAUGAACUUUUUCUCGUUUCUAUAGGAAUGACAGGUGUACUAGACAGUCUUGCCAAAGAAAUAGUUUUAUUAGACGCUUUUGGGAAAUGCAUGAUAUUUACAUGAAAAUUAGUGUUUACUACUUUUUGUCUGAUAAUGUCACUUUAAAUUUUCCUGCCAUGCUAUCUUUUUAGACAUUUUCAGUCUCCAGAGAAAAGAUCAAUGCUAUCCUAAGGCCAACUGGAACAUGGUGUGAUAUCUCAAUUUAAUACUCACUAUCUUUUAACAACAAUAACAGUGAUAUUAUGAGGCAGAAGAAUGCUUGUUUGUCAGUUUAUGUCUUGUUACCUAUGGCACCAUUAGUUUAAAGAAGAUGUAGGGGUAAAAAAGCUGACCACUCAUUGGGCUGGUAAAACUUGAGGUACAAUAAACAGCCUUGGUGUUGUUGGGAAUUCAAUGUUUAUUUAGCAUUUAAGGCUAAAAUAGUCCAACUGGAUGACUGAGUUUUUCUAGUUUUGUCUUUUUGGCCUGAUAUCUGAAAUCCAAGUUAAAUUCCUGACUAUUCUUGCUUUAGUGUUGUUACAGAUAUAAAUAAAAUAUUAAAACAUGAGCCAUGAAGUAAAAACUAAAAGUAAAAAUGAAGGAUUUGAGAAAUGAUCAUGGCCUAUGGGUCUGAAGUAAUUAUUGAAGGACCUUGAAGUGACUUGCAGUCUAAUGGGACUUAGGUUUAAUAGGUAAUAGUGCAAUGCAACAAAAAGGGCCCAUAUAUGGCCAGUCAGCCAUCUGUUUAUUACUAUAAGGAUAGUUUAAUAAAUUGUUUGCCACAUACAGUACUGGUAGUAUAGAAAACUGUGAAUGGGUUGAAAGAGAUAGUGGGAGAACAACUUGUGUGACAAGAGAUAAGAGGAGAGAGCUCUGCCAGGAGGGAUUAAUUGGUUACUUUAUAUGCUUAUUUUAAAAGACUAAAAACUAAGGGAAAGACUACUAUCAGCCACAAUGAGCAGAUAGCAGUUGGGGGCAACCCAUCAGUGAAACAAGUUAAGAGUACCCCUUAAACAAACACCCAAAAAAAAAAAAUCCAAUUCCAAUUUGUUUUUUGGUAUUACAGCACAUUGAGGAAAAAUGCAACUUACUCACUAGCAGUGACUUACAAGUGGUACUGUGUUCUUUUGUGUUGCCAGAGGAGAAAAAUAUAGUUUAAUAUUAAAAAAAAUACCAAUUUUUUUUUGAGAACCUGUAGUUACCCUAGAGAGCAAAAAACUCUGUUAUCCUACGUGUCCUACUGGAUCCAUAAUAUGUCCAAAACAGCUUACACAUAUAAAGCAAUUUAAAAGAAAAGGGAGACUUCUUGAUCAAACCUGAAGAUAGAACAUUAUACGUCUGAGAACCCAGAGCUUGAAUAUAUGGUACUCAGCAGCAGGCAGUCACAGUGCACACUCUAAUGCCCACAUCAACAUUCAAUAGAAACUGCAUAAGUAAUAAGGUGGCACUGUGCCUCUGAUUUCCCAAAUGUUCAUUAAAAUUACAAUUUUUUUUUCUAGUGGCCUAGAAACAAUUGUUACUUUCCUAGCAAAUGAUGCAAAACUAAUUCUUGGACAAUGGCUUUACCUCUGUUGAUAUAUCCCUUCCCAACUAUUUUACUUCUGUUUUUAUCAAACAGUUCUGGUUUUAAGCAGCUCAGAAAAUGGCCUUAUGCACAGAACAAGAACAGAAUGCUCAUCAAAUGCUGCUUACCCUAUGUGAAAACAAAACUGAAGAUGGCCCGAUGGACUCACUUGUAUUAAUCUACACUAUCCUCCCCUGUAUACUCAUGUUCAUUGGCUGCAUUAAAAAAGACAUGAUAUUGCCUGAAAUCAAAUCAAAUUUAUCUAUCAAAAUUAUUUAUAGCUGAAUUACACAGUCUACAAGUGUCUCUUGUUAACAGAUGAGGUCUCGGGUAGAUACAAUUAAAAAAAUCUAUUUGAACAGAAAAUAAUUCCACAUGUACCGUAGUUCACAAGGUUGUACAAGAAUUAUAAAUGAUAGUUUGAAAGUAUUUAUUGUAUAGAUGAAACCUGGGAUAUAAAUUCAUAGAUAAAAUGUUGUGCCCCUAUUUUGUUCAAUAUUACAUUUUGAGAUGAACGAUUUACUUUACUAUAAAAUCUUUAAAAAAAAUAAAAAACUACAGUCUCCAUAAGUUUAGUCUUUUAUUAUUAUGUUUUGUAUUUUAUUUUAUUUCUUAGUAUUUAUUUUUAAUUCAUUUCUUCAUUUUCAUAUCCAUGUAUUGCACAUUUCAAAUUCAAAUGAUAUCACGGGACAAUGUCACUAUUCAGAAUGCAAGGUUUAACCCCAAUAUUUCGUAUAAUAUCUUAGGCCCAUUUGCAGUUUGUCUUUAUAUUAUUUAAAGUGUUUUUAUCACAUUUUUUGUUUUAGUAUAAAUGCUUUUUAUACCUUGUUUGUUUUUUAAAAGUGACCUCUUUUAUAAUUACUAUACUCUACUCUUAAUCUUGAUAAAUAGUGAUCAGCCAGAAAUCGUUAUUUAAGUAGUGACAAAAUGGGGGUGACCUAACUGCUACAGCUUAAAAAAAAAUUGCUAUAUUUUUUAUUAUUAUUUAAAAUAAGAGAUUCAAUGUAUUAUAGCUUCUGUAUCCAUCUGCUCAAGGGAGGCCAUGUUUAAGUCCUCAUUGCACAGUUUAUUAUACAAAAAUCUAAGCAGGUAAUCUAGAACAAAUCUUGAGAUUGUGCUCUUUUGCCAGGCAAUUUAGCAAUGCACUCUGCAUUGAUUUAAGGUUCACUGAUAUAGCACGGUUAAAGCAGAAAAGUGGCACUUUUGACCUAAGAAACUAAAGAUGGCUGCCGCUCAGUUCAAGUGUAAGCCAGGGAAUGCACUUAAAAAGGUAUUUACUUAAACAUAUCGAUUACAAGAUAAUACUCAACAAGGAUAUAUUACAUUUAAAUUACAUUUAAAAACAAAUAAAAUUGUCCUUCAUUAUAAUGUUUACCUGACUUUUAAAAAGAUAUUGAGUCAGUUAUUUACCUUAUCGAUAAUGCAUUUUGUAAAUAUUUUACUACUACUGUUUCUAUCACUAUCUAGAUUUAAAGAUUUUAAUUUGUCUUUCUCUGUUUAUUUUGGUAGUUGACCACUGGCAGCGCACUAGAAAUGUAUUUUAACAAAAACUGACAUGUAUGCUUCAAGUUCUGUUUUUGUAGACAGUAUCUGGUCAUUUUUGUACAUGGACAUUCAAUUUAAUAAUUCUCAAUCCAAAUCCAUCUUUUUGUGCUCAAUUUUGUAAAGGCAAUUUGCAUGCAUCAACCAUGUCUUUGGAACAAUUUGUUGUCAGUAUAUUUCUUUUAAUCUAAAAUAGUUGAAUUGCAAAAUACAUUCAAAUUUGCUUACUUGUAGAUUUUUUUUCCAAUUCAGCUGUCUUGGUGUACAUUUUGCAAGUAGGUUACAGCCUGUGAGCCGGUGUUAAUUUUGGCGGCAAAUUUCAAUUUAGUUUUAGUCACAGUCUUUUGACUGAAAAGCCAUUUUGGUUUUAGUCAUAUUCUAGUCAUCUGUUUUAGAUUUAGUCUAGUUUUAGUCGACUAAAUCUCCAGUAGAUUUAAGUCGACACAACUAAAAUCUAAUUGGUUAAGUUAAAGCCUCUGUCUUUUUUUCCGCAUCCCAAGCCCCACUGUGUUUCUUUGUGUCCUCCGAGCCCCUCUGGUUGUCUCUCUCCCAAGCCCUGGUCUGUCUCUUUCACAGCCCCUCUGUGCAUUGUUACUUUUAGUUUUGUAAGCCAUUUUAGUUUUAGUUGUAUUUUAGUUAUCUGAAUUGUUUUAGUUUUAGUAGACUAAAAUUUGACUAAAAUUUUUAGUCGACAAAAUUUACAUUGCUGUGAGCAUACUCUUUAGAUAUUACAUUAAUUGCUUCAUAGACUUUAUAUGGUUCAAAACAUAGAAAUCUCUUUUUUAUAUAAUACAGCUAAAUGUUUCAUUAUUAUCAUGUUUCAUUUAUUAUUUUAAAGUAAAAAUUUCAAUUAUUGAUAUGGAAUAUACCCCAAGAAAAACCAUUAUUCUUUAAUAUAUUACUUUGUAAAACAUACCUUAAAUUCAAAGGUUGAAGAUUAUUGGUUCAUUGUUAUCAUUUGGUUUACAUUUUAACACGAAUUGUAUCCCAUAGUUGUACUGACUGAUCUUCACAGAGGUUAAAUAGAUCAUAUGUAUGUAUAUCUGAUUCAGUCAUCUUCCUGUUGAGUAUCUUAAAAUAAAUGCUGUUAUUGUAACAAAGACUAUAAUCAACAGCCAUUAUGUAUUUAACAACUAUAGACAAGAUAAUUUAAUCUUAAUUUACAUAAAUUCCAAUCUAUACUCAAUGAGCUAGAUUCUAUUAGCCAAGUAAGAUUGUUCAGUAAACUCGGUUUACUGAACAGCAAUUUUCUUGUACAAUUCAAUGGAGCAAUUGCUAUUCAGUAGCAGAGUAAACUCUUACAUUGCGAAGGGAAUCCAGUGCUAUAUGUUUGAAUAAUUGGUUUAAAUAUCAGAAAAAGACAUUCCCAGGAAUAAUUAUACCCAUGAAUCAGCCUCUAGCCAUUAAGUCUAUUUUUGAGCAUUUUUAUAGUGUUUAUUUAGAAGACUAUUCUCAAGUUUCCACAAUGUCACAUUAUUCUGGCAUAACGAUUUGACCCAAUUGAAAUGGAUCUUUUCACAUUCUCAAUUUUCAAGUUGUCAUGGUCUAGCUAAAAAAAUAACAACUGCAUAAAAGAACAAGGCUGAUGCUAAGGAUUCUCUUUUGACUACUGAAGAUAGAGAGGGAAAAAGACUAGUGCUUGCACAGCAUCAAAAAUAUUAAGCAUACGUUUUCUAGCAAUUUUAUCAUAUUUUUUUUUUCAAGGUAUUACAAAAAAACAAAAAAAAAACAACUUGAUAACAGAUUUAUGUUGGUCCUUUUUUCCCCAUGGUUUUAAUUAUGAUCUAUCUCACUUGGUCUUUUAUAUACAAAUACGCCUCUUUAGAAUAUUAUCUGUUAAUUCCUAUAAUGCGAUCAUAAUCCACAGUACUAGGCAGUAAGCGUCUGCUUAUAUUUGAGAGACAUACUAGACAUAGUCGAUCCUACCAGACUGAAAGGACAAUAAACAUUUACAUGGUUAUUUAAAAAAGUGAGAAUUUAAAGUGAUUCAAGGUAUAAAUAGUCAAACCGGAUAUGCCUUUGAUGCCAUUUAGGCUACAUUGGCCUUGAAUUUGAAAUUCACUUUGAAUUCUCACUUUAGUGAAUGACCUUGUUAGUCCAUGGUAGAAAUCGAAUGUAAAGUGGUAUUGCUAGUAUCGGGAUUUCAGAGGAAAUAUCUGAUUAUGUGGUCUAAUACGAUAAAUGAAGGCGAAAGUUGUGUGAAAUGCAUUGAAUGGAAACGGCAUUGUUCUCCCUAUUCCUUCCCAUCAUUUCUCUUUCCUUUCUGCUUUGUUUUAGCUGCGUGAUGUGAGAGGUCAUUAAUUUGUCUGCUCAAGAGAAGAGAUCUAGCCCAAUAACUCAACAGAGAAGUUUCAGAGAGGAAUGUUCGAAUGAAUCUGAUGAGAGCUUUCUACAGUUAAAAACAAUUUGCUUUUAUUCCACUGAUAAAAAGAAAUGGAUCAAAUAAACAGUUGAAUAAAAUGUACUCACGUCGCAAAUGAAGAACCAUUUUGUACACAGAAAUCAGUUUAUUCUAUUCAUAUUUUUAUUAUUAUUCUAAACAUAAUUAGAAUAUUACAUUUAAAAAAAAGAAAAGGAAUCAAUUUGGUGGCUAAAUGAUUUAAUCUAAUCACAUUUUGAAACAAGGGCUUUAUUUAAAUAUCGUGACUCGAAGUCUUAUUACCUUUAAGUGUUCUGACAUUGUUAUUCAUAUAAACUUGGUUUUGUAAUUGUGAUUUGUGAGAAAAAACAUUAAAUAAGUAUCAAAUGUUAUCAAUGAAGGUAAUCACGUUGCAAUUUUUUUGUCGGCACAAAACAUAUUCUGUGACCGACAAAAAGCAUUAAUAAAUGUGAUAAUUCCAAUGUGAAAAUGAAGUAAGAAUACAUAACAAUAAAAUCUACUAGAUUUAUUUUAAGACUUUUAAUACCUUUUGUUGAAUUUGACUUUGUGAUUACAAAACCUGGGGUGCAAAUAAUAGCGUAAAAUUAUUUGAAACCUUUUGGUUUACAGGACAGAUUUUGGAAAUUAUAUGAAAAGCUCAAUAACA
rnacentral:lncRNA from 1 species